UUUCCUGCUUUCAAGAAGCACAAGCUGGUCAAAGCCACCACACAACUACAGGAGAAGAUCUGCUCUCAUCAUGACAAACUGCUGGAGGUUUUCUGUCGCACCGAUCAGCAAUGUAUCUGUUAUCAGUGUACAAUGGAUGAACAUAAAGGCCAUGAUACAGUGUCAGCUGCAGCAGAGAGGACUGAGAAACAGAGGCAGCUGGGGAUGAGUCAGCAGAAAGUCCAGCAGAGAUUCCAGGAGAGAGAGAAGGACCUGAAGGAGCUCAAACAGGCUGUAAAGUCUCUCAAGCGCUCUGCACAGGCAGCAGUGGAGGACAGUGAUAAGAUCU